UUUGUAGUAAUACAAGGCAUAAGGCUCAGUAACACGUAGUCAAACUACCCUAUGGACAAGAAUAAUCUCGGGAAACUGGGCAUAAUUCUUGAUAGAUCAUAAUGCCUGGAAUGGUUUAUGGUUAAAAUGAUUCGUCGCCAUAGGAUGGGACUGCGGCCUAUCAGCUUGUUGGUGAGGUAAUGGCCCACCAAGGCGAUUACAGGUACGGGCUCUGAGAGGAGAAGCCCGGAGAUGGGUACUGAGACACGGACCCAGGCCCUAUGGGGCGCAGCAGGCGAGAAAACUUUGCAAUGUGCGAAAGCACGACAAGGUUAAUCCGAGUGAUUUCUGCUAAAGAAAUCUUUUGCCAGUCGUAAAACCGCUGGUGAAUAAGGGGUGGGCAAGUUCUGGUGUCAGCCGCCGCGGUAAAACCAGCACCUCAAGUGGUCAGGAUGAUUAUUGGGCCUAAAGCAUCCGUAGCCGGCUUUGUAAGUUUUCGGUUAAAUCCAUGUGCUCAACGCAUGGGCUGCCGAAAAUACUGCAUGGCUAGGGAGUGGGAGAGGUAGACGGUACUCAGUAGGAAGGGGUAAAAUCCUUUGAUCUAUUGAUGACCACCUGUGGCGAAGGCGGUCUACCAGAACACGUUCGACGGUGAGGGAUGAAAGCUGGGGGAGCAAACCGGAUUAGAUACCCGGGUAGUCCCAGCCGUAAACGAUGCAGACUCGAUGAUGCAUUGGCAUAAUAGCCAUUGCAGUGUCUCAGGGAAGCCGUUAAGUCUGCCGCCUGGGAAGUACGUACGCAAGUAUGAAACUUAAAGGAAUUGGCGGGGGAGCACCACAAGGGGUGAAGCCUGCGGUUCAAUUGGAGUCAACGCCAGAAAUCUUACCCGGAGAGACAGCAGAAUGAAGGUCAAGCUGAAGACUUUACCAGACAAGCUGAGAGGUGGUGCAUGGCCGUCGCCAGCUCGUGCCGUGAGAUGUCCUGUUAAGUCAGGUAACGAGCGAGAUCCCUGCCACUAGUUGCUAUCAUUAUUCUCAGGAAUAGUGGGGCGAAUUAGUGGGACUGCCGUUGUUAAAACGGAGGAAGGAAGGGGCUACGGCAGGUCAGUAUGCCCGGAAACUCUGGGGCCACACGCGGGCUGCAAUGGUAG
rnacentral:rRNA from 1 species